UUGGGUAGUUUCUUUGGGAUUCUCUUGUGGUGAGAAUCUCUUCAAAAGGUAGUUUGGUUGCCCAUUGUUUUGCUUGAGGGAAAGUUCGGUUUCUUCAACCUUCUUUUUCUCAGAAAUUUCAUCCAUUUCAAAAGGAAAGUGAAAAGACUGGACUGAAUCUCUUGCAGUAGCUUUUUCUGUCAUCACAGAGCAGAUGAAGAAAGAAAAAGGUGAUAAACCCUGCUGAAGUUGCACAGUUUUCAGGCUGAUUCCAGAGAGAAAGAACUUCAAACCGAGGGGAGUUAAGCUAUCAGCAGAGAAAAUGAAUUGGAAAGAAAACCAAAA
rnacentral:misc_RNA from 1 species